CCUCUAAGCUCCAGGUAACAUUAAAUCGUACCCCAAACCGACACAGGUGGUCAGGUAGAGAAUACCAAGGCGCUUGAGAGAACUCGGGUGAAGGAACUAGGCAAAAUGGUGCCGUAACUUCGGGAGAAGGCACGCUGGCAUGUAGGUGAAGUCCCUCGCGGAUGGAGCUGAAGCCAGUCGAAGAUACCAGCUGGCUGCAACUGUUUAAUAAAAACACAGCACUGUGCAAACACGAAAGUGGACGUAUACGGUGUGACGCCUGCCCGGUGCUGGAAGGUUAAUUGAUGGGGUCAGCCGCAAGGCGAAGCUCUUGAUCGAAGCCCCAGUAAACGGCGGCCGUAACUAUAACGGUCCUAAGGUAGCGAAAUUCCUUGUCGGGUAAGUUCCGACCUGCACGAAUGGCGUAAUGAUGGCCAGGCUGUCUCCACCCGAGACUCAGUGAAAUUGAACUCGCUGUGAAGAUGCAGUGUACCCGCGGCAAGACGGAAAGACCCCGUGAACCUUUACUAUAGCUUGACACUGAACAUUGAGCCUUGAUGUGUAGGAUAGGUGGGAGGCUUUGAAGCGUGGACGCCAGUCUGCGUGGAGCCAUCCUUGAAAUACCACCCUUUAAUGUUUGAUGUUCUAACUCGGCCCCGUGAUCCGGGGUGAGGACAGUGUCUGGUGGGUAGUUUGACUGGGGCGGUCUCCUCCCAAAGAGUAACGGAGGAGCACGAAGGUUAGCUAAUCACGGUCGGACAUCGUGAGGUUAGUGCAAAGGCAUAAGCUAGCUUGACUGCGAGAGUGACGGCUCGAGCAGGUACGAAAGUAGGUCUUAGUGAUCCGGUGGUUCUGAAUGGAAGGGCCAUCGCUCAACGGAUAAAAGGUACUCCGGGGAUAACAGGCUGAUACCGCCCAAGAGUUCAUAUCGACGGCGGUGUUUGGCACCUCGAUGUCGGCUCAUCACAUCCUGGGGCUGAAGUAGGUCCCAAGGGUAUGGCUGUUCGCCAUUUAAAGUGGUACGCGAGCUGGGUUUAGAACGUCGUGAGACAGUUCGGUCCCUAUCUGCCGUGGGCGUUGGAAGAUUGAGAGGGGUUGCUCCUAGUACGAGAGGACCGGAGUGAACGCACCACUGGUGUUCGGGUUGUCAUGCCAAUGGCAUUGCCCGGUAGCUAAGUGCGGAAAAGAUAAGCGCUGAAAGCAUCUAAGCGCGAAACUUGCCUCAAGAUGAGUCUUCCCUGGGCCUUUAAGGCCCCUGAAGGAACGUUUAAGACUAAGACGUUGAUAGGCUGGGUGUGUAAGUGCAGCGAUGCAUUGAGCUAACCAGUACUAAUGAUCCGUGAGGCUUAACCUU
rnacentral:rRNA from 1 species